rnacentral:rRNA from 1 species
CAGGCGGCCUUUAAGUUGGAUUGUGAAAGCCUAUGCUCAACCAUAGAACUGCAUCCAAACUAUCAGCUAGAGUGUGGAGAGAAGAUGAAUUAGUGUGUAGGGGUAAAUCCGUAGAGAUAACUAGGAAUACCAAAAGCGAAGGCAAUCUCUGGAACAUUACUGACGCUGAGGCGCGAAAGCGUGGGGAGCAAACAGGAUUAGAUACCCUGGUAGUCACGCCCUAAACGAUGAAUGUUAGUCGUCGGGUAGCUAGUCUAUUCGGUGAUGCAGCUAACGCAUUAAACAUUCCGCCUGGGGAGUACGGUCGCAAGAUUAAAACUCAAAGGAAUAGACGGGGACCCGCACAAGUGGUGGAGCAUGUGGUUUAAUUCGAAGAUACGCGAAGAACCUUACCUAGCCUUGACAUAUUAAAGAACACUUUAGAGAUAGAGUGGUGCCUUCGGGAGCUUUUAUACAGGUGCUGCACGGCUGUCGUCAGCUCGUGUCGUGAGAUGUUGGGUUAAGUCCCGCAACGAGCGCAACCCUCGUCACUAGUUACUAACGGUUCGGCCGAGGACUCUAGUGAGACUGCCUUCGCAAGGAGGAGGAAGGUGAGGACGACGUCAAGUCAUCAUGGCCCUUACGGCUAGGGCAACACACGUGCUACAAUGGCCAGGACAAUGAGAAGCGAUACCGCGAGGUGGAGCAAAUCUAUAAACCUGGUCUCAGUUCGGAUUGUAGUCUGCAACUCGACUACAUGAAGCUGGAAUCACUAGUAAUCGUAGAUCAGCUAUGCUACGGUGAAUACGUUCCCGGGUCUUGUACUCACCGCCCGUCACACCAUGGGAGUUGAUUUCACCCGAAGCGGGGAAGCUAAACUGGCUACCCUCCACGGUGGAAUCAGCGACUGGGGUGAAGUCGUAACAAGGUAACCGUAGGAGAACCUGCGGCUGGAUCACCUCCUU